GUUCAGUGGCACAACGGGUCAAUGUGCCUGGCUGUUAACCAGAAGGUUGGUGGUUCGAGCCCACCGAGGGACG
rnacentral:tRNA from 1 species